ACGCGAGGUCUUGAGUUUGUGUGUCCCAACAAGCAUCCAGAUUAUUCUAUGGAAAAGUGUCGUUUUAGAGAGUGGCUAUAUGGUCCGAAGUCUCAUUGGCCGGAGGAAAAGAAGAAAAAGAAUGACAGGAUUAUUACCGCAGCGCCUCCGGUUAAAUGCAAGUGUGGUGUUGAGGCUAGCUACGGCUUAGUUCCUUCCGAACUAGGAGUCGGAUAUUUUUGUGGUCAUAUGGUAGACUACGAUGUGAGCACUAGGAAAUGUGACUGGGAGUAUUGGCAUGGGAAAAGAGACUUCUACCAAACCUGCGAGCAAAAGAAAGCACUAGGCA